rnacentral:lncRNA from 1 species
GGCUGGGGCACGCGACGACAUUUCACUCGUCGGCUUAGGGACCCCUCGGUCUCGAAACGCCGACAAAAUCCAACCAAUUCUUGAAGAGGAAUGAUGAAGACGACAGGCGACUGUGUGCCCUAAUCUUCCCUCUCUUCUCUCCCUUGUUCUUCCUCUCUUCUCUUGGGGCAAGGCACAAAAGGGGAUGGCUGCUAGGGUGGGAGGACGUGGCUGCUAGGGUUAGGGAGGUAUAAAUAGAAUAAAACUCCUCCAAUCCUAAUAUCCAAUGGCUCAGAUCGACCGACACUUGAAAAAACUCAUUCAGACUCCAAACAAGGCAAACUAGUAGUCGAUUGAAAUCGUCUCGACGAUAUCUAUGCAUCUACGGUCUCCGAUCAUCAGUAGGACACACCGUAUUAGGAUUUUAAACAUGGUUUGGUUUUUAGGGUAUUAUAUUCUACCCCCCUUAAAAGAAUUCGUCCUCGAAUUCAGCCACUUCUACAAAUCAAGACAUUCACCAACGGUAAAACUCGGUCAAACACCCUAAAUAGACUCAUAUAGUAGACUAGUAGCCUUGACGAGAUCAUGAAAAGAGUUUUUCAAGAAAUAACCUCUAAGUCGGACUAAUUUACCAAAGAAAAUGACACCCCUUGACAACAAUCAUAAAACAAUAUAAAACGAAUUCCCAAGGCAUUAUCAUAGGUGCAAUCAACACUAGGAUUUGCCAUCAUUGAAUUUGGAUGCAGCUAUACAUCAAGAUCAAUGUCUUAAAACAACACUCUUUUUAUGAAGAGGUAAUAUGCACUAAGAACAACCCUUACCAACUUCAACAAUUCAUUUUAAUUCAAUUGUCAAACAUCCACACCAGAUGAAUGUAUAAGAAGAUCAAACACCUCACAUUAAAGCACCACGAAGCAAGUAGUUCCAUUGAAACAAAACUCCUAAUCUUCCUAAACCUUGUUCUUGACGUCAUGAAAAAGAUAAUCAUGUAAUCUAACGUUCUUUACACCCCACAAAAGGGAGAAAGUCUACAGAACUAAUGGAGCAAUAAAGCCAACAAGAAGCCAAUAACAUUCUGUGCGGCACAGUUCAUCGAACAAAUGCCAAAAACUCCACAAAGAGCACUGAUAGCACAACAACAACACAAUACUUUGCUUAACUAAUGUCACUAUACUUCAUCCAACAACUCAACUAAAAAAAUAUCCAAACUAUUAAGGUUAACCUACACAUAAUAUAAGUCUUCAUCUACUGUAGUUCAGAAACUUACAUUUCAUUCCAUCAUACGAUGCACUCAAAGUUCUAGACAUACAAGGUCAAUAAUAACCCUGUAAUCCUUCACACACAUGACAAACAUCUCAAUCUAAUGUAAGAACCACAUCAUUUAGAAAUAGGUGACUAACCACACCCAACCAACUCUAGGCUAGGCAAUGACUUCAUUCAAACCAAUAGAUAAGUGGUCCAACAAUGGCUCCACAAGCAUGCAUCAGGGAGAUAACCAUCAGAUCCUCAACGUAUUAAUAUAUAAUCAAUGGAUCAAGAAAAUAAAAGAUUUAUUCUACAAUUAGCAUGACUAACAUGCAACCACUUUAAACCACAUCUAGGCUUUGUGGCUACUAAAACACAAGAUAGAAGGGAGACAUGUAAUCCACUCUGGCUAGCUAUGUAAAGACUUUCCCCCCAAAAUCCAUAUAAAAGUACCAAUAUUUAUUUCUUUCAGAACUGGUUUCUUGGCAUAAACAAUCAUUCCUUACAAAGAUAGUUGGAGCUAUCCACCAACCACCCAACAACUUAAAUCCAAAUCGAUGGUUACCUUGAAACCCAAAACAUGCAAUUCACACUCCUCUUGGAAACAUCCUCAAUCAAACAUAUAUAACAAUAUUAUUGUAAUAAAACUCAACCAUGAAAAACAUGUUGAAAACAACAUAGGCAUACAUGUAUAUCACAAGCAUAAUAACGACUUCAAUCUCACAAAAGAACAGCGAUAUCAAUCGUAUUAAUAAACAAUAUCAAAAUUUAGAAAUGAAUUAUAUCAGGCAUUAAGUCAUAAACAACUUACCACAUCACCGUAAAGGAUUAGGGAGGGUGAAAUUAUUUCAUCUGCACUUCAAAGACAUUAACAUAUAUCAAAGAUAUUUGAACCCACACCCUUCCUAUAUGUGCAAGUGUGUCAAAUUUAUCUUCAAAUUGCCAAGAAUCUAAAGCCUAUGCUUUGAUACCAACUGUAACACCCCAGGAUCCACAAACACCCCGAAAUGCUACUAAACUACACAACUAACAUUCAUAUAUAAAAUUUCGACAGCAUCUCCUUUGGAAAUUUGCAUAAACGUGGAAGCAACAGAGUAUAAACAUAUAUCAUGAUAAGAAAACAUACUAGGCAUUAAUAAUCUGCUAGCAAUGGGAAGAUAACCAUAACGACAUAAACUGAAUUAACUAGUGUGCACGACUAGUUAAAAACAAACAUCCUUGACAAGAAGUUUCAAAUUAAAUCAUGGUUGUGCCUAGGCAGCGUUAUUAUGAGAGUGAAGGUGGACGUGCUACUACUUCCCUCAUUCCCAACAUGAAUCAAGUACCUGCAUUGAGUAAUGCAAGAGUGAGAUGAAACAUCUCAGCAAGUAAAUUAUUUUGAUGAGAUAUUUAAACCAAAAGAAUUGAAUUAAUCAACAUUUUAAAAGGGAUCACAAUUGAGAUCAGAAAUACUUGUAGAUAUAGAACUCAAUAGUCCCAAAAUAACCAAUGCCAUCUCAUUUCCUCGAACGACCACAAUAGGUUGUAUAACACUUCCCUCUUAGAGUAUAAAACCACACCAUCUGCAAAUAUCACUUCAAUAAAUGCAUAUGAAUGCAAUGCAUAUGUCCUCUGCCUUCAUACCUCUAAGGGUAUGAAGCCGCAUCGUACCCCUCCUCGGGCAACGUACGAUGCUAAGUUGUACCGGUACGGUCGGACCAUAGGUCACGACAAAACUUCAGAUGCAAGUGAAUCAUGCAAUGUAUAUGGCAUGCUGCAUUUAUCAAUAUACUUCACUUCCUUCAAAUACAAUACAAACCUCAAACAAUACUUUGUUUACCUUCAGAUACAAUACAAACCUCAAAUAAUACUUCAUUCACCUUCAGGAGUGUGAAUUAAUCUCGUGGGUCAUACUCGAAUCAUCAUCAUCAUCAAUAUAUGAUUAAGCAUCAAUAUAAUACAAUCAAGUAAAGCAUCACCAUAGAGUUCAAUUACGAAAGAAUUCGAUGAUUCUGAAUAUUAGAGUGUAGGCGAUGAAACAAGUCAAAACGGUAGCAACCACCGCUACAUUCACUUGCCUUAAUCGAAGAAGAAAAUGUACUAAGCAUGAUCCGGAGCAUAACCACCUGUUGCGGGGCAUAAAACUUAGUACAAAUAUUUCAUAAACAUGCCAACAAUCAACAAAUCGUUCCUACGCUUGAAACCAAGACCUGGUGAAAAGACUCCCACCUGAACCACAUGUCAAACAGCAGCAGCGCUGUUUGUUAAUUUUGUAUCUUUAAAAUUAUAACAGUGGUGAUAUCAAACAAAUAUUCUAGGAGUAUCUACACAAAAUACUCUACAACUUCGGUAUUCAAUGGAUAAUUAAAUUUUGCCAUCUAUAAGUUCUAAAACAUCCGACAAGAUAACUGACUGAAUCUGUUUCAGACAGCAGCAUAGUUAAAUUCAAAAUUCGAUAUCUCCCAAACUACUCAACCAAAAAUUAUGAACUUUUGCUGGAAGUAAGAACAUUUAUCCCUCUACAAAAGUCUCCAUAGUUGGAGGAGCCAAUUCGGCAAUUUACUAUAUGAAACCUACCAGUGAACAGACCUGCUCGGUUUUUGCCAGGCAAACAGGAACAACCACAGUAAAACAAACAUAACUGGAGUUUCAAAAUUCAUAUGAAUACACUCUUUAUCAAUCUGGAAAGAUUAUCAAAUUAUCUACAACUUCUCUUACUAACCAAAAGUUCAAUUCUGUUUAUAGAAUUGUCUAAAUCGCAUGAGAACAGAUUCUACACAGAAUUAUGUGACUGGAAAACUGUUAUAAUCAAACUGCAAUUACUCUCUAACCUGAUGUCCGAUUGAGGUGUUCUUUGCGGCCACGGAAAGAUAUCUAAAUUAUCUACAACUCAUAAAUAGACUUUUUAUUUUUUUGAGGCCUCUAAGACCACGGAAAACUGGCAUAAACAAAAACUAUCGAAUCUGUCAUUCUGCAGAGACUAAUUUCGAGAUCAAAAAUCUAAUCCUCCAUCUAAUCCAACAUAAAGGGCUAAUUGCAGGGCCUAAAAGUCAUCCAAAACAAGGUAAAACAUCCAUCAAGUGGGGACAAUGGAGAGAGGAAAGGAAAUCCAAUUCUUGAAGAGGAACGAUGACGACGACAGGCGACUGCGUGCCCUAAUCUUCCCUCUCUUCUCUCCCUUGUUCUUCCUCUCUUCUCUUGGGGCAAGGCACAAAAGGGGAUGGCUGCUAGGGUGGGAGGACGUGGCUGCUAGGGUUAGGGAGGUAUAAAUAGAAUAAAACUCCCCCAAUCCUAAUAUCCAAUGGCUCAGAUCAACCGACACUUGAAAAAACUCAUUCAGACUCCAAACAAGGCAAACUAGUAGUCGAUUGAAAUCGUCUCGGCGAUAUCUAUGCAUCUACGGUCUCCGAUCAUCAGUAGGACACACCAUAUUAGGAUUUUAAACAUGGUUUGGUUUUUAGGGUAUUAUAUGAAGUCUCUCUGUUGAUGGGUCUAUUGACUCCCUUCUGGCUGUUGGCCGCGUGAAUAUGCAGGUUGUAGUGGUGGCGGAGGUGGAGGCUGUGGCCAGGAUGCCUGUGGCUGACUAGCCGAAGCAACAGACGCUGCA